rnacentral:rRNA from 1 species
UACGAAGGGGGCGAGCGUUGUUCGGAAUUACUGGGCGUAAAGCGUGCGCAGGCGGCGCGUUAAGACAGGUGUGAAAGCCCCGAGCUUAACUUGGGAAUUGCGCUUGUGACUGGCGUGCUGGAGUGUGGCAGAGGGAGGUGGAAUUCCACGUGUAGCAGUGAAAUGCGUAGAGAUGUGGAGGAACACCGAUGGCGAAGGCAGCCUCCUGGGCCAGCACUGACGCUCAUGCACGAAAGCGUGGGGAGCAAACAGG